rnacentral:lncRNA from 1 species
UUCUCUCCUUCCAAAUCAAAUUCAAAGAUCUACUCUCUUUCUUUUGGGUUUUAUUUUCUUUGUUUUUCUCAGAUCUGCAAGAUAAUAGGGAAUUAUAGGUUUUGUACUUUUUAGAUAUUUUCACAUAUUCGUAUUGGUGCUACAGAUGCAAUCGAUUAGUUAGGGUUUUGAGGCUGCAGGAAGACUCUCUUGUCCUGAUUGCAACGGAGGAUUCAUUGAGUCGAUCUAGACUCCGACCCGACCCCCACUCUCGGAUUCCCGACGACGACGUUUUUCGCCGGCGGCGAUGUGGGGAUCGGGUAGAUUUCAGUUCCCUUUUUGCAGGCUUUGUUCCUUGGUUUUGGAUUUUUUUCAGGCAAGCUAUGUGCUCAAUUAGAUUGCUUCCUCCCAUAAUACUAGAUUCAAUUCCAUCAGAUUUGGGUCUCAGAAUCCCCACUAAAUAUUCUCAAGGAAAAUGGGAUUUUGUGAACUGGGUUCUUGCUAAUAUCCCAUUUAUUUGAAGAAUUAUUUGUUUUCUUGUCUUUGGAUGUAAAGAUACAAUUUUACAAUUGGGAAUAUUUUGGUUUGUGAUGAUUUGGUUGGUUUAUGUAUGGGUUCUUUUUCAUUGACCCUCGCUUUAAGCAAAGUCAUCAAUUCAAUAACCAAUUUCUUCUCGUCAGACACCGAUGUCAAUUCCAAACCCAAUUUCCUGAUCUUCCCCAAUUGUUCGCCAUUCAAACUGCUGUAAAAAGUUUUAGCAAUCUCUCUUAAUGCUGAAUUCGCCGCAAGCCAUGCCCAAUUGGGAAUCCGUAAG